GUUGCCGUGGAAGUCUGGUGAACCUUAUCACUUAGAGGAAGGAGAAGUCGUAACAAGGUUUCCGUAGGUGAACCUGCGGAAGGAUCAU
rnacentral:rRNA from 1 species